rnacentral:rRNA from 1 species
AAUCAACGCUGGCGGCGUGCCUAACACAUGCAAGUCGAACGCGAAAGGGGAGCAAUCCCUGAGUAGAGUGGCAAACGGGUGAGUAACACGUGGGUGACCUGCCUUCGAGUGGGGGAUAACGUCCCGAAAGGGACGCUAAUACCGCAUGACAUCCUGCUCUUGGAAGAGCGGAGAUCAAAGCUGGGGAUCGCAAGACCUGGCGCUUGAAGAGGGGCCCGCGCCUGAUUAGCUAGUUGGUAGGGUAAUGGCCUACCAAGGCAACGAUCAGUAUCCGGCCUGAGAGGGCGGACGGACACACUGGGACUGAGACACGGCCCAGACUCCUACGGGAGGCAGCAGUGGGGAAUUGUUCGCAAUGGGCGCAAGCCUGACGACGCAACGCCGCGUGGAGGACGAAGAUCUUCGGGUCGUAAACUCCUGUCGAGUGGGAAGAAUGGAUCAGGGGUGAAUAAUCCCUGGUAUUGACGGUACCACUAAAGGAAGCCCCGGCUAACUCCGUGCCAGCCGCCGC